rnacentral:rRNA from 1 species
ACAAGCGGUGGAGCAUGUGGUUAAUUCGAUGCAACGCGAAGAACCUUACCUGGGCUUGACAUCCCGGGAAGUCCCCUGGAAACAGGGGAGUGCCCUUCGGGGAACCCGGUGACAGGUGCUGCAUGGCUGUCGUCAGCUCGUGUCGUGAGAUGUUGGGUUAAGUCCCGCAACGAGCGCAACCCUUGUCUUUAAUUGCCAUCAUUUAGUUGGGCACUUUAAAGAGACUGCCGGUGUUAAGCCGGAGGAAGGUGGGGAUGACGUCAAGUCCUCAUGGCCUUUAUGCCCAGGGCUACACACGUGCUACAAUGGCCGGUACAAAGAGUUGCGAUACCGCGAGGUGGAGCUAAUCUCAUAAAGCCGGUCUCAGUUCGGAUUGGAGUCUGCAACUCGACUCCAUGAAGUUGGAAUCGCUAGUAAUCGCAGGUCAGCAUACUGCGGUGAAUACGUUCCCGGGCCUU